rnacentral:lncRNA from 1 species
CCCCCCCCGGUGUUCCGGUUUAGCGUAACUCUUUCUCCCGCCCCCUCCGCCACGUGCUUUUCCUGCUGCUUAGCACUGCAAGUUCCCCUAGCUUCACUCCAGAAAGGCAGUCUUGCAUAGUGGUUAGGGCGAGGUUGGUGAGUCUGCGGUUCUCCAGGCGUUGCUGGAGAGCAGCUCCCAUAAUCGCUGCCCGUUGGCGAUGUUGGCUGGGCUGAUGGGAACUGGAGCCCAGCCACAUCUGGAGCGCCAAAUGUUGGCAAACCAUACAUUAAAAAGAAACACACACAUACCAAGAAGCCUGGGAACUGUAGCUUACCACCUAAAGUGCUGCAGUUCCCAGCACGUGGGAAACUAGAAAGUUCUCGGGAUUCUUUGGAGAGGAAUGUGCCUAAAUGUAGGGCGUGUGCUCAGUCUAAUCCUUAGUCGACCGUGUGCGGGAUGAGGCUUUUGUACUCUGAGUGAGCCCGUCGCUUCCUCUCUCCGCCGAACUUCACCUCGCAGGGCUGUUGUGAGGAUAAAAAGGAAAGAGAAGGAACCAAGUGUGCUGUCUUUCGCUCCUCAGAGGAAGGUGGUAAGCAAAUGUAACACAUAUAUAAAUGUGCAUGAAAUUACACUCCUGGUCACCUAUUGCCACCACAAAAUGUAUAGCGACAAACUUCGAAGACUGAGCAAUAUGUUAUUUCGGCGUCCACAACUCUUUAGCGGCUCAUACAAUAUCUCUCUUUUAUUUUUUAAAUUCCAAAGAGCUAGAUCUGCCUGCAGAUAUGGAAAAUUCCACCUUCUUUUUCUGUUAUGGUGCUAAGUGGGGAUGCAGCAACGUGUAAAAUUACAGUAGAAAACAAAUCUAUCCCAAACAUCCCUUGGUGGGCAUAAAUUAGCGGGUGCUUGAAUCUAUCUUUAAAAAUAUUAAAUAUUUAUUAUGACCAUUUCAUUCCUUUCCCAACUUUUUCUGUUUCUAACAGUCUUUUAAGAACCAAUAGGGGGCAUAGGAGUGCUUUGCAUUGGUAGAAACUGAAAAAUGAACUGCUUUUGCUUUAGGAUAAAUAAUUAGAGUAGAGACCUGAGCUCCAGUGAAACUGAUGUUAACUCAACAUAACUGCUGAUUUUCCAAACCAGGUAAUAAAAAUAAGUGGGUAAAAAACUAACCAAAAAGGUCUGGAUGCCCCAGAGACAGGGGGUGGGUGGCAAUUUCUAAGAGGGUGUUUAUUUUACAGUACCUCAAAUUCUGGUUACCAAGAUUUCCAGCUGUUCAGCAGGCCCCUACUGGUUUACUUUUAUCUAGGGUGAACACGUGUCUUACUUGUGUCUUACAGAGGACAGUCCUCUAUUAUGAAGGGUUAUAAGAGGACAGUCCUCCAUCUGAAGGGUUGUCCAGGGCAAGUCCACUUUAAAGAAUAAUAAUCCUAAUAUAGUAAUAAUAAUAAUAAUAAAAAUAAUUUUUUUUAUUUAUAUCCCGCUCUCCCCAGCCGAAGCCAGGCUCAGAGCGGCUAACACCAAAUGUAUAACACAUUAACAUAAAAUCAGACAAUCAAUUAAAAUACAUCCUCAAAUCAGAUCAAGAUCAGAAUAAAAUCCAAUCAGAUGGCAACCUGCAGAUUAGGGUUGGGGAGCUUAAAUGCUCACCAGGCCCAACUGUUUGUGCUGUUUGUGCUUUGAAGUUAGCAGCACCCAGACAGCAGACCGAGAGGGCAAACAGAACACCUGGUCACAGGUGAGAUACCUGGUGAUAAUCAGAUUCUCACAUUUCUAUGAUGAUAGCAAAUUUUCUGAUAUUGCAUCGAUACCUAUAAGUUAACAUAUACAAAUUUUAUGCAAAAUGGCGCCUUUUGUCCUCCUUGCUGUGAUGCAGUUCCUCCUCAGUCUUUCCCCCUGCAACAGUGUUUAAGUGGCUACCGUAUUCUUAGAUCUUCAGCAACAACAAAAAACGCUUUUCAGAGCAUGGAUAGCUAUUUAUUAUACAACAAAUGAACAUGGAACUUUACAGCGUGAGUGACAUAAAAAACAAACAAGAAGCUACUUUCAUUCAGUUGGAGUUUUCAGCCUAAACUUUGGCUCUGUACAUAUUACCGUUUACUCUGGCUGCAGUGCUCUCCAACCACUGGUGUUCUGAAGCUGUGUACACAUGACAUUAGCCACAAUCCAUAUUUGUCCUGUAGUUUCUUGAAAAAUACAGCAUUUUCUGUCAAACCAGAUUCCAUCCGAUUUGAAAAUGUAAGUCACAUUCACUUUGCAGUUAAACUGAUGUAUGUACAUUUCAGGCAACCAUAGCCCAUGCACAGAUGGCAGCUUCACUGAAUAGGAGUUUGCAGCGGCAGGAGGGGUGUGUGUGGCAGGCAUGGGGAGGCAAGUCAGGUAAAGCACAACAGGUGAAGACAUUUCUGCUCCACUUUGGCAUGUACAGCAAUGUGCAAAUAUGAAUUGAAAAGUAGCAUGGGGUGUGGAGGGGGUGAUGUUGCAUUUUAAGUCACUAAUGUUUACAUAGCCUUUGACAGAGAGGAAGACAAGAGCUGACUCAGAUAGUGGCAGAUUUUCGAGACUUAGUAUGAACAUCUCGGCCAAUAUGAGUGGGGCCACCAGCUUCGGUGCUUAUUGCCAUAGCAUCUUAUUUUAAGAAGUAUUUUAUAGUUGGCCCAGACACGCCCAUGAUUACAGGUGCACGUUUUUUAAUUUUUUACUUUUAAAACAAAAUUGUGCUUAUUUUCAAGUAAAUGUAUUUAACAUUAGCCCAGCAGAAGCAACCCCUGUUUUAUUUGUCUACUCCUGGGUGUAUGGUUAUUUCAGUGAGUUUAAAUGCAAAACUGCACAUCUUAAAGCAGGGUUCUUUCUUAAAGCAGGGUUUAGGGAUGUGGGAACCUGAGGGGGUGGGAAGAAGAGAAAGGUGAAUUAGAGAAUCAGAGAAGUUGGAAGGACCACCAGGGUCAUCUAGUCCAAUCUCCUGCAAUGCUGUCUAAAGGGGGACCAUCCAUAAGUUCAGGGUCUAACUCUGCUUCUGGGAAGGAAGAACAGCAGGAGCAAGGAAGAGCAGGACAGACUUUUGGAAAUUCAGUCACACACACCACUGUUUUCUACUGCAGAUUAAGCCACCAUUCAAGACAGAGCAUCAGGGUUUAGCUGAAAAGUUGGCAAUCCAUUACUGAUCAUGAGAGUUAUUGGCAACCUCUGUUGCUGUUUAAAACCACGAUUUUCCUCUCAGUGGUGCAGGAGGUUACCGUGGGGGAUGGUUUGUUUGUUUGUAAGGAGUUGAUUGCAGAAAAAGAGGGCGAGGGGAUUGGUGGGUAGAAUGAGCAAGGGUCCAGGCCCUAGCACUGAGAUAUUUUUGUUUGUGUGCAGCAAAAUAAGAAUUGGAAAAACAGGAUAAAAAAACAACAACUUUUAUUUAUCUCACUUCUCAAUGGUUUCUGCGACAAAGGGAGCCAUCUCUCUACACAAAGGAAUAAUAGAAUCUCAUGCUGGAAGACACUUAUUAGAUCAUAGCCUGUCUCCCCGCCAGUCGGGCAGGAUUGUUCCUGACAACAGAUUAAUAGUACCAUCCACCAACAAGUGUUGCAAGCAAACAGAUGAUCUUUUCUUUUGCUUGCUAUUCUUGUAGAGAGAAUAUUGUCAUUUUAACAAGAUUUUGUUGUUGUUGUUACUACCAAUGAAAUACUGUUCCUUAAAAAUAAAAUCCUGCAGAUGCCUCCUCCUGGAUUGUUCCUAAGUGAGGUUCUGUCUUCUUCUCAAGUCUGUGUUUCCUUCCUCUGAGUCUGCAAGAAGUUGGGAAGGAGACCUGGCUUCCAAGCUACUUCAAUGGAGCCUUCUCAUCCCCCAGACAGACUAAUGCCUGUUAAAGGAGUCAACAGUGGAAAUGUCCAUCCCAUGUGCUUGCGCACACACACACACACACACACACAUACACAGAGACCCACACCCCAAACUUUCUGUUUACCAGGGAUGUUUCUGAAGCAAGUGAUAUAUUUUUAUUUUCAGGUGAUCCAUUUCAACCAAACUUUAGAUGUUUUUUAAAUAAUGUUUGAUUGGAUGUACUCUUUUAUAAUUUUACCACCUGCUGUUUUUAAAGUCUGUUUUUGUUGCUAAUUUUUAAUGAACCACAUCUACUCUUUUGCAGUGCUUUUCUCUGUCUCAAUUUGACUCAAGAAAAUCACACUUUUAUAGUUCAAAUCGGGGAAGAUAAAUACAGUAAAUGGACAAAAGUACGAAGAUUCACAAAAUGUUUAGGGGUAUGUGUACCCCUGCGUCCCCCCAGAAAAAGAACACUGCUCUUAUGUAACCCUCUCUCUCCCACUGUGUGUGGUUAUAUACAUCUAGCCAUUGUUGGUGUUCAUGUUUCUCUCUGAUGUUUUAUUGUGUUUUUAAUAUUAUGUUGGGAGCCGCCCAAAUCCAGCC